rnacentral:rRNA from 1 species
GGGUGAGAAUCCUUUGUUUCGCUCAGUGUCCGCUGUGUACGGCGCAUGUUCUCAAAGUCACGUUCCUCGGACUUGGAGCGUGGAUUAGGUGGUAGAUUUCAUCUAAAGCUAAAUAAAGGCCCAAGACCGAUAGCGAACAAGUACCAUGAGGGAAGGAUGAAAAGGACUUUGGAAAGAGAGUUAAAAGUGCUUGAAAUCGCUGGAAGGGAAGCGAAUGCAACCACACUCUCUGCUGAGAUUGCCGCGGGCGCUUGCAAGCUCUGAGCUCAGAAGCGCAAGCUCUGUGUUUGGCUGUCCGCGGGCGCUCGUGGUGUUU